GACAGAGGAUGCAAGCGUUAUCCGGAAUGAUUGGGCGUAAAGCGUCUGUAGGUGGCUUUUCAAGUCCGCCGUCAAAUCCCAGGGCUCAACCCCGGACAGGCGGUGGAAACUACCAAGCUGGAGUACGGUAGGGGCAGAGGGAAUUUCCGGGUGGAGCGGUGAAAUGCAUUGAGAUCGGAAAGAACACCAACGGCGAAAGCAGCUCUG
rnacentral:rRNA from 1 species